GAUAGGGGGAGUUUUUUUUUCCCUGAACAAGCCACGUUCGCGAUUCAAGCUGGGUAUCACCAGGUUGACAAUGUGAUACAUCGAGGAAGUACCUCACAGGUACCAGUGGCUGGGUGGUGGGACAGGCGAGGCUGGGUUAGGCUUGACUAUAAGCAUAAUCCCCUUGUUAAAUUUUCUUUUCUUUUCUUUUCUUUUUGUUUUUCGUUUUCUUUCCAGAGAGUUGCAGUGGUAGUUAUUUCUCAAUAUUGGCGAGUGGACACGGCGCGGAAACCGAACAAUCCCAUCCCGGUUUCUGGCGAUGUCAUUGAUGUCAGCUGGUUCGAAUAUCAGCUCCAUGGACGAGUUUGAGUCAGGUAAUUAACUAGUUACUGGUAUGUUUAUCCUUGCGCUCUACCAGUCAGUUCCAGCAGAAGGAAUAUUUCAAACUGGUCCUCGAGCACAGGUGACCGUGGUGCGGCGGACUGAAUAAAAGGAUUCGAAACGAGGAUUUACCCAGUUCUUCGAGACUUCUUUCAAUAUGCCAUGUGAUCAUUUCCAUUGACAGUUUCCUUUACGUUACAUUUGCAGGUUUUGAUUUGGCGCUUUCCGGGAGAUUGACUACAUCGGGGAAGAAAAAAGUAAGUUUAUUGACCCCUAGGGCAGAAACGGUACGGUACUGGCUGAACUGCCAACUAAUCCUCCGCACUCGGCACAAAUAAACGCACAAGGCAUGGUCACAUAUCAAACGAAUCCAGAGGGUUAUAGGAGAAGUUCCAGGAGUGAAGAAGCAAAAAAAGGUGCAAGAGUGAUCCGUUCAGUCAGCCACCCGUGCGGAUAAGAAUACCUCUCUGUUCUUAAAAGUGACAUAUUGUAAUGAGCACGCCGUGAAUUAAAAAAAAAGGAGAACGGAAGGUAAUAUAAAUAAGGGGACAACGACGGAGAGGAAAUCUUCAAGAGAAUAGUACACAAUAAUCAUAAUCAGCAAAACUAGGAGCAAUCAGGCAUAAGGGAGUUAACGAGAAAGGGACAGCGGGAAUUAACAGUAAAAAUUAAUAGUAAAGAAAUAGAGCGGAACUGGGUGAAAUAGAAGACGGUAUAGUAUGUAUGAGAACAGAAACAACCAUAAAACGGAUAUCAGUAAAGAUAAAAAUGCCCUCUUGCGGUAGAAUAGAAUCAUGCGCGUGGUGAUAUUGAUGAAAAAAAGCAGCCGGUAAAAAGCAAAGAAAAGAAAACAGAGAUAAAUUCCCCCACUUUAGUUAAUCCUUCCUCAUUCCCCACCCCGUUGCAAACAAGCAAGGGAGCAAAAAAUGAUAACCCAUGAAGAAAAUACCACUAAACAGUCACGAAACACAGCAGGAUUAUAGAAAUAUCUAUGCAAAUCAAGAUAUACAAAUAUCUAUGCAAAAACGCGAAGGAUGCCGCUAUGAGAUGGACAAGGAAAGGUAAUCAUAAUGCACAACAAACAAAAAAAAAGAUAUCGAAGUGGUCGAAAAGCAAAUCAAAUCCGUAAGACUACGUCCAAACUCCGCAAGAAGCGAGCCA
rnacentral:sRNA from 1 species